CAAAAAUCAAAAAAAAA
rnacentral:sRNA from 1 species